rnacentral:rRNA from 1 species
CUGCACAGUAACACGUGGAUAACCUGCCCUUAGGAUUGGCAUAACACCGGGAAACUGGUGAUAAUACCGAAUAGACCAUUUAUGCUGGAAUGCUUUUUGGUUCAAAGGCUUUUAGCUGCCUAAGGAUGGAUCUGCGGCCUAUCAGGUAGUAGUGGGUGUAACGUACCUACUAGCCUACGACGGGUACGGGUUGUGAGAGCAAGAGCCCGGAGAUGGAUUCUGAGACAUGAAUCCAGGCCCUACGGGGCGCAGCAGGCGCGAAAACUUUACAAUGCGGGAAACCGCGAUAAGGGGACACUGAGUGCCAGCAUAUUACGUUGGCUGUCCACAUGUAUAAAAAUCAUGUGUUAGCAAGGGCCGGGCAAGACCGGUGCCAGCCGCCGCGGUAACACCGGCGGCCCGAGUGGUGAUCACUUUUAUUGGGUCUAAAGGGUCCGUAGCCGGUUUGAUCAGUCCUCCGGGAAAUCUGACAGCUCAACUGUUAGGCUUCGGGGGAUACUGUCAGACUUGGGACCGGGAGAGGUAAGAGGUACUACAGGGGUAGGAGUGAAAUCUUGUAAUCCCUGUGGGACCACCAGUGGCGAAGGCGUCUUACCAGAACGGGUCCGACAGUGAGGGACGAAAGCUGGGGGCACGAACCGGAUUAAAUACCCGGGUAGUCCCAGCCGUAAACGAUGCUCGCUAUGUGUCAGGGACGGUGCGACCGUUUCUGGUGCCGCAGGGAAACCGUGAAGCGAGCCACCUGGGAAGUACGGCCGCAAGGCUGAAACUUAAAGGAAUUGGCGGGGGAGCACUACAACGGGUGGAGCCUGCGGUUUAAUUGGACUCAACGCCGGAAUACUCACAGGGGGCGACAGCAAUAUGUAGGUCAGGCUAAAGACCUUACCCGAAUCGCUGAGAGGAGGUGCACGGCCGUCGUCAGUUCGUACUGUGAAGCAUCCUGUUAAGUCAGGCAACGAGCGAGACCCGUGCCCACUGUUGCCAGCAUGUCCUUACGAGGAUGAUGGGUACUCUGUGGGGACCGCCGCUGUUAAAGCGGAGGAAGGUGCGGGCUACGGUAGGUCAGUAUGCCCCGAAUCUCCCGGGCUACACGCGGGCUACAAUGAUUGGGACAAUGGGUCCCUACUCCGA